UCCGUAGGUGAACCUGCGGAAGGAUCAUUCGCACAAUGAAUUUUCUAUUCUCACCCGCCACGCACCAUACAGUGCUCCCUGUUUUUCAUUAGGAAUUUUUUCCGUCUCAUCGAUGUUGUAAUUUCAUUACAAUGUUUGUGAUGUUAUCUAUCUCUUGCGACGACGAAUGCCUUGGCUCGAGGAUCGUUGAAGGACGCAGCGAACUGUGCUAAACAUCUCGAAUUGCAGAUUUCCGAGAAAGAAAAGGAUUCUGAACGCAUUCUGCGAGUUUGCCUCGUGUAAGCUCACGUAAUUGGCGGUGACCGAAAUAUGCAGUCGCUCAAACUCUGAAGUUUGUGUGGUAUCGCUUGUUGUCGCAGUUUAUUGCGCCGACAGGUUCGUGGAAUUCGACGCUUCACUCGUUUUCGAGCAGCAUUAUGUUUUCGUGACAUGAUGUUCGAAAUCAGUUUUGUGUUUCUGGUUUAGGUUUCUAAACUUUUUUUUCCGCACGCUCACGACCAAUUACGGGAAUACCCGCUGAAUGGAAGCAUAUCAAUA
rnacentral:rRNA from 1 species